rnacentral:rRNA from 1 species
UACGAAGGGUGCAAACGUUGCUCGGAAUUAUUGGGCGUAAAGCGCACGUAGGCGGCUAUCUAAGUCGGAUGUGAAAUCCCCUCGGCUUAACCAAGGAAGUGCACCCGAAACUGGAUAGUGCUUGAGUACAGGAAGAGGAGUCGCCGGAAUUCCCGGUGUGAGAAGGUGAAAUUCGUGAGAUAGUCGGGGAAGGGAACACCAGUGGCGGA